ACGGCACACCCAUGAGAAUUAAUAUAAUAGAUAACUCUGGGGACCAGUUUUACAAGAAGAAUGAUGUUCUUAUAUCUUCUUCCCUGUAUCAAGCUUUUGCUGCCACCACCAAGCCCUUCUUGCUUAGUGUUUCCUCCAUUUCCUUGCAUGACCUGUCUCAUUCUGAGGCCUACUAGGCUUGGCUCUUGGCAAAACACAAGACAGCAGAAGACUCUUCUCUUUGCUCUUAUGCAUUGCUGAGAGUGGACCAGGAAAAGCAUUGGUCAGAGGGGAGAUGCAUUCAGGAUGAGGAGACUUUAUUGCUUCUUGAGGAUGUCCAAAUAUCAGCAGAUACCUGGAAUUAACUUUGCAUGAUAUCAGUCUCUUAUUCUUUCAUGUAUGUUAAUUAUUCACAAUAUGUAUCUCAGCUACAUGCAUGCGCCCUAAGGCCUAGCAGCACUGCAUACAAUAUUAAAAGCUUUAAUAUUGCUAAUAAGAAA